rnacentral:rRNA from 1 species
UACGGAGGAUGCGAGCGUUAUCCGGACUUAUUGGGUUUAAAGGGUGCGUAGGCGGACGCUUAAGUCAGCGGUAAAAUUGCGGGGCUCAACCUCGUCGAGCCGUUGAAACUGGGCGCCUUGAGUGGGCGAGAAGUACGCGGAAUGCGUGGUGUAGCGGUGAAAUGCAUAGAUAUCACGCAGAACUCCGAUUGCGAAGGCAGCGUACCGGCGCCCUACUGACGCUGAAGCACGAAGGCGUGGGUAUCGAACAGG